AAUAGUUUAAUGCUACAUCAACUUUUUUCUCUUGAAUUUCAGCAUUUUCUUCCUGAAAAAAAUUAAAUUCAACUGAAAAUACUAAAAUUCAAGAGAAAAAAAACUGAUGUAACAUUAAAUUAUU
rnacentral:pre_miRNA from 1 species